AGAGACAUACAAGAGUCGUACACCGCAUUCUUUGAUCCUAUUG
rnacentral:sRNA from 1 species